CCCUUAGGUGUUCUGGGCCGCACGCGCGCUACACUGACGAUGGCAACGAGUUUUUCCUUCGCCGAAAGGUGUGGGUAAUCUUUUGAAACAUCGUCGUGCUGGGGAUAGACCAUUGCAAUUUUUGAUCUUGAACGAGGAAUUCCUAGUAAGCGCGAGUCAUCAGCUCGCGUUGAUUACGUCCCUGCCCUUUGUACACACCGCCCGUCGCUACUACCGAUUGAAUGGUUUAGUGAGGACUCCUGAUUGGCGCCGCCGCCCCGGCAACGGAGCAGCGGACUGCCGAAAAGUUGUUCAAACUUGAUCAUUUAGAGGAAGUAAAAGUCGUAACA
rnacentral:rRNA from 1 species